AGUGAACGCUGGCGGUAGGCCUAACACAUGCAAGUCGAACGGCAGCACAGUAAGAGCUUGCUCUUACGGGUGGCGAGUGGCGGACGGGUGAGGAAUACAUCGGAAUCUACUUUUUCGUGGGGGAUAACGUAGGGAAACUUACGCUAAUACCGCAUACGACCUACGGGUGAAAGCAGGGGAUCUUCGGACCUUGCGCGAUUGAAUGAUCCGAUGUCGGAUUAGCUAGUUGGCGGGGUAAAGGCCCACCAAGGCGACGAUCCGUAGCUGGUCUGAGAGGAUGAUCAGCCACACUGGAACUGAGACACGGUCCAGACUCCUACGGGAGGCAGCAGUGGGGAAUAUUGGACAAUGGGCGCAAGCCUGAUCCAGCCAUACCGCGUGGGUGAAGAAGGCCUUCGGGUUGUAAAGCCCUUUUGUUGGGAAAGAAAAACAGCAGGUUAAUACCCCGAUGUUCUGACGGUACCCAAAGAAUAAGCACCGGCUAACUUCGUG
rnacentral:rRNA from 1 species